rnacentral:rRNA from 1 species
UUGACAUGCAGAGAACUUUCCAGAGAUGGAUCGGUGCCUUCGGGAACUCUGACACAGGUGCUGCAUGGCUGUCGUCAGCUCGUGUCGUGAGAUGUUGGGUUAAGUCCCGUAACGAGCGCAACCCUCGUCCUUAGUUGCCAGCAUUAAGUUGGGCACUCUAAGGAGACUGCCGGUGUUAAACCGGAGGAAGGCGGGGAUGACGUCAAGUCCUCAUGGCCCUUAUGUCCAGGGCUACACACGUGCUACAAUGGCCGGUACAAAGGGUAGCAAGACCGCGAGGUGGAGCCAAUCCCAAAAAGCCGGUCUCAGUUCGGAUUGGAGUCUGCAACUCGACUCCAUGAAGUUGGAAUCGCUAGUAAUCGUGGAUCAGCAUGCCACGGUGAAUACGUUCCCGGGCCUU